UUAGAAAUCAUUUGUAUGCGUGUUUGGAAGCUGAACGCGCGCAUGUUCACGCAAGAUGACGCGGUCCGUCUCUCGCACAUCCGGACAGACGUUCGCUGAUGGCCUCUGACCCUGAACAUACACGUCUUUUUUUGCACAAACGGAGAAAGACGAAGCAAAACCAAAACUUUCAGAAAAGCGUCCUGCUUUAGAAAUGACCACUGUGGUAGAUGAAACAGAGACAAUCUGCCCUUUGGAUAUUAAUCCUCUGGACAGAUCGCGUGCUUUUUAAUAAGGUAAUGUUGCGUGGAUAUCUGAUAUGUAUGUAUGAAUCCUGGUUCUGUUGUUGAUCUGUCGCUGCUGUUUGCACGUUCAAAUUAAAUGUUUUGUUUUUACUAGUUCACAGACAACCGUCAACUGUAUUUUUACUCAAUGACAAUUACAUAUUAAAAUCGUAUAAGUUAACGGUAAAUGUUCGGUUUAGAAGCUACGGUUGUCGGUCGGGAAAAUUAACUGCAUCCCUACUUUAAAUAUAAAAGCGCUUAAAGAAGCAUACUUGCAUUCUAGGCGGAUAUACAAGUCACUAGCUGGCAAGUCAGUUCCUGAAUUACACGACACAAACCUUUUUUAAAAAAAAGUCAAAUUUACUUCUCAGAGGCAAGGAACUGUUUCUGAAACUGACGUUCUCCCAAAACUGAAAUUAAACACAGUGUUUCGCGUUUCCCUUGCCUGUUUCAUAUUGUUUGCACAUCUGAUAUCAAGAAGCAAGGUAUUGCGCACAUGACGACGAGAGGUGAUUUAUAAACGUGACAUCGCAGACAAUUUCGGCGCAAAUUAAAAAAAAUUGCAUUACACAGAGUUACUACAGAAGAACCAGUGUGUGUGGGAAAACACUGCUAACCUUUCAUGAUACUCUCGAAUCAGUCGUCUUCUCUGUCAGUAACAACGCGAGAUAAAUGUAAAUAGCGUGACGCGUCGACGCAUUUUUCGCAUGUCGACGUAUUUUCGUAGUCGACGUAAUCGAUGACGUUGACGCGUUGUUGCAGCACUAAUGCACUCUCUCAUCCAUGUCUCUCUCAGUGCAUCCCUCGCAUUUAUUAUAGGGCCCUAGGGUGUGUGAGGUACAGAAGUGGGGCAAUGCGCAUGUUAUUCAGAAUUUUUUUUUAAGUUGUUUUUUGAUCAGUACUGCUGUUUACAUUUUCCUUGUCUUCUUAUGAAAGAUAUUUGCUCUACAAGAGAUUAAGUAAAGUGCACUAAAACUUAGACCUAAGCAUUAAAUAGGUUGUAAAUAGUUGGUUACUUUCAAGGAAAAAGUAAAGUGUUCCCCUUGUUAUGCUGCUUGGUUGCUGCUACUGUGUGCAAUAGUGUAAUUAUUUUAAUAUGCUUAGUAUUUUCAGCAGCACUGAAUUUUCUUACUUGUUCUACCUCACCUGUUUUUACUAUUUGUUAAAUAUAGUUCAAUAAAUGUUCAUUUUUUAAAUGAAGAGUUGUAACAUUUGGUUUUAUCAUUGUGUAAUUUUUAUGAUGUAAACUGAAUGAGCAAAAGCACUAUCGGCUCCAAAUUUCGGCUAAAGAAAAUCGGCAGCCUGUAUCGGGUCAUCGGCUAAGGCCAGAGCCGCCGGAUUAAAUAAAUGGACUACACUAGGCAGGCUGCAUUUUUUGGGCCCCCCCCAUCGAGGUUAUUUAUGAAUUGAAAUCUGAAACUUACCAAAGUUACUAAUAAAAGUGAAUUCACAUUUUACAUAGCCUAGUCUUUGCUUACAAAUUGGUUGUUUGUAUACCAAAUUAAGUCAUGUGUUGUAUAUUAACCAGUCUAUCAGACAAUUUUUUGCUAAAUUUAUUAUUUAUACGUCAUUACACGGCUCUAUUAAAUGCUAUUAAAUUAUCCUCACCUUAUCCAUUGGGAGUGUCAUUGUUAAGGCAGUAGUACAAGUAAAUAACCAAUAGGUGUCAGUAAUCCGCGGGAGAGCUUUGCUGCAUAUUUCUCUUCAAGAUUGAGAAUCGCAACGAAAUCCUCGUCGAGCAACACGUCCACUGAGCAACCAUGUCUGUGUCCUUAAAGGAACUCUGUCAGGUACAGAUUAGAACUAUGAACUUGAAAAUCAACCAUUCUGAUGACUGGCGUCCCCAUCCGAGUCACCACCUCAGACAACAACAGUCAUAAACUCACAAACACAAAUACACUCAGUAAUGGGCUUAAUAAAGAAAGACUUAACUAUGAUUUUAUCUGUGUUAACCUAUGAUAUCAGUUAUUGAUGUAUUUUAAAUAUUUACGUAUUACUAGGCUUAUCAUACAUGCAUUGAAGUUUUAAAAUGUAUCUAAUAUAAUACUGUAAUUAAAUUGAAUGUUUUGGAUACCACCAUUAAAUUAUUUUGUGCAUGUAAAACACAA